AGUGGCGAACGGGUGAGUAACACGUGAGCAAUCUGCCCUUGACUCUGGGAUAACUGCGGGAAACUGUAGCUAAUACCGGAUACUUUCCUCGCUGGGCAUCCAGCGGGGAAGAAAGAAUUUCGGUCAAGGAUGAGCUCGCGGCCUAUCAGCUAGUUGGUGAGGUAAUGGCUCACCAAGGCGACGACGGGUAGCCGGCCUGAGAGGGUGACCGGCCACACUGGAACUGAGACACGGUCCAGACUCCUACGGGAGGCAGCAGUGGGGAAUAUUGCACAAUGGGCGAAAGCCUGAUGCAGCAACGCCGCGUGAGGGAUGAAGGCCUUCGGGUUGUAAACCUCUUUUAGCAGGGAAGAAGCGAAAGUGACGGUACCUGCAGAAAAAGCACCGGCUAACUACGUGCCAGCAGCCGCGGUAAUACGUAGGGUGCAAGCGUUGUCCGGAAUUAUUGGGCGUAAAGAGCUCGUAGGCGGUUUGUCACGUCUGCUGUGAAAAUCCGAGGCUCAACCUCGGACUUGCAGUGGGUACGGGCAGGCUAGAGUGCGGUAGGGGAGAAGGGAAUUCCUGGUGUAGCGGUGGAAUGCGCAGAUAUCAGGAGGAACACCAAUGGCGAAGGCACUUCUCUGGGCCGUAACUGACGCUGAGGAGCGAAAGCGUGGGGAGCGAACAGGAUUAGAUACCCUGGUAGUCCACGCNGUAAACG
rnacentral:rRNA from 1 species